rnacentral:rRNA from 1 species
AUUGAACGCUGGCGGCAUGCCUUACACAUGCAAGUCGAACGGCAGCACGGGAGCAAUCCUGGUGGCGAGUGGCGAACGGGUGAGUAAUAUAUCGGAACGUGCCCAGUCGUGGGGGAUGACGCAGCGAAAGCUGUGCUAAUACCGCAUACGAUCUAUGGAUGAAAGCGGGGGACUCGCAAGGGCCUCGCGCGAUUGGAGCGGCUGAUAUCAGAUUAGGUAGUUGGUGGGGUAAAGGCCUACCAAGCCUGCGAUCUGUAGCUGGUCUGAGAGGACGACCAGCCACACUGGGACUGAGACACGGUCCAGACUCCUACGGGAGGCAGCAGUGGGGAAUUUUGGACAAUGGGCGCAAGCCUGAUCCAGCAAUGCCGCGUGCAGGAUGAAGGCCUUCGGGUUGUAAACUGCUUUUGUACGGAACGAAAAGGCUCUGGUGAAUACCUGGAGUUGAUGACGGUACCGUAAGAAUAAGCACCGGCUAACUACGUGCCAGCCGCCGCCGUAA